UUUUCAGUAGUUUACUACAGAAAAUGACUGAGCGGCGAACGGGUGAGUAACGCGUGAGCAAUCUACCUUAGUUACAGGGAUAGCCCGAGGAAACUCGGAUUAAUACCUGAUAUUCUUUACAUUUCGCAUGAAAUCAAAAGGAAAGGUCAGCCGAACUAAGAUGAGCUCGCGUUCUAUCAGCUAGUUGGUGAGGUAAAAGCUCACCAAGGCAACGACGGAUAGCUGGUCUGAGAGGACGAUCAGCCACACUGGGACUGAGACACGGCCCAGACUCCUACGGGAGGCUGCAGCAGGGAAUAUUGCGCAAUGAGCGAAAGCUUGACGCAGCGACACCGCGUGUGGGAUGACGGAUCUAGGUUUGUAAACCACUUUCAGGAGGGAAGAAAAUGACGGUACCUCCACAAGAAGCCCCGGCCAACUACGUGCCAGCAGCCGCGGUAAUACGUAGGGGGCGAGCGUUGUCCGGAUUUAUUGGGCGUAAAGAGCUCGUAGGCGGUUCAACAAGUCGGUCGUAAAAGUUCAGGGCUCAACCCUGAAAUGUCGAUCGAUACUGUUGUGACUAGGAUACGGUAGAGGUGAGUGGAAUUCCGAGUGUAGCGGUGAAAUGCGUAGAUAUUCGGAGGAACACCAAUUGCGAAGGCAGCUCACUGGGCCGCUAUCGACGCUGAGGAGCGAAAGCUAGGGGAGCAAACAGGAUUAGAUACCCUGGUAGUCCUAGCUGUAAACGAUGGAUACUAGACGUAGGAACUGGAUUGACGGUUUCUGUGUCGUAGCUAACGCGUUAAGUAUCCCGCCUGGGGAGUACGGUCGCAAGACUAAAACUCAAAGGAAUUGACGGGACCCCGCACAAGCGGCGGAGCAUGCGGCUUAAUUCGAUGAUACCCGUAGAACCUUACCUGGACUUGACAUAUAGGGUCUAGCUAUAGAGAUAUAGUGUGCAUUAGCGCCCUAUACAGGUGGUGCAUGGCUGUCGUCAGCUCGUGUCGUGAGAUGUUGGGUUAAGUCCCGCAACGAGCGCAACC
rnacentral:rRNA from 1 species